CACUGCUGAGCUGCACAACAAACCAAGCUCGUCUGACUGUGAGUCCCAGCAGCUCUCAGUUCUUUAAAGGAGACUUUGUGUCUCUGAGCUGUGAGGAGGACGACAGCUCUGCUGGAUGGACUCUGAGGAGAAAUGCAACCAACCUGCAGAUGACUCAGUGUGGAGCAGAAUGGGGAAAACCAACAAAUUCAGCUAAUACUUCUUGUAGUAUCAGCUACAUUCUCACAUCUGACAGUGGAGUUUACUGGUGUGAGUCCAGAGAGGGUCCCAUCAGUAACAUGGUUAACCUGACAGUCACUGGUGGAUCAGUGAUCCUGCAGAGUCCUGUCCUCCCUGUGAUGGAGGGAGAUGA